UCAAACCACGCUUAAAUAGACUUAGAAAUCUCUCAGCCUAGUUUAGUUUUCCUUUUCUCGCCCUCCUCUAAAGUCUCGUCUCUCUUUUUUUCUUUUUUGGUUUGAUAGAAAGCAAAUUUAUUUAUUUAUUCAUUCAUUUAAUUUGCUAGUAAUCAAGUAACGAUUAUAAAAAAGUAAGAGAGAAAAUAUUUAAACAACAUCUUGCUAUCUCGGCCUGCGUUACUCUUUCCUGUUUAAGGUAAUUAGAUGAAAGCGC